GACGAACGCUGGCGGCGUGCCUAAUACAUGCAAGUCGAACGCACAGUUUAUACCGUAGCUUGCUACACCAUAGACUGUGAGUUGCGAACGGGUGAGUAACGCGUAGGUAACCUGCCUGGUAGCGGGGGAUAACUAUUGGAAACGAUAGCUAAUACCGCAUAAUAUUGAUUAUUGCAUGAUAAUUGAUUGAAAGAUGCUAUUGCAUCACUACCAGAUGGACCUGCGUUGUAUUAGCUAGUAGGUGAGGUAACGGCUCACCUAGGCGACGAUACAUAGCCGACCUGAGAGGGUGAUCGGCCACACUGGGACUGAGACACGGCCCAGACUCCUACGGGAGGCAGCAGUAGGGAAUCUUCGGCAAUGGACGAAAGUCUGACCGAGCAACGCCGCGUGAGUGAAGAAGGUUUUCGGAUCGUAAAGCUCUGUUGUAAGAGAAGAACGGGUGUGAGAGUGGAAAGUUCACACUGUGACGGUAUCUUACCAGGAAGGGACGGCUAACUACGUG
rnacentral:rRNA from 1 species